GGGGCUUCUGAAGAGAUGGAGAGGAGAAAAGAGACCACCUCUCCUUGGAGUAAAAACUCUCUGUGAAGGCUGCUGACCAAGGGAACAUACACCUGCAGGAUCAGCUCCUCACCUGUUGCAGCCUGAUCUGUGGUGGGUCUUUGACCUGGUUUUAGACCUGCGCUCCUGACGCUCCUGCCUGUAUUUGGAGAUGAGGUGUUGAGAGGAGGCUCCGAGAGGCUGUGGGUGUCUGAGUCUCCGGGUGCAUUAGAGGAAGACGAGACCUCCACAGCCAGACUCACAGAAUCACCCUGAUCACAUUCACCCACCGGGUUCGGGACGCUAACAGGGAUGCUAUGACUGCAACAACAACAAGUGAGUUCACCUUGCUUGGAGGAGAACUGACAGGAGCUCUGGAUAUGGACCCCCAGUCAGCAGCCACAGAACCCAAAAUCCAGCCAGUACACUUCGCAACUCCAGGGACCAGACAGCCCCAACUGCUCACAGAUCAUCAAACUUUCUGUUGCUGCUGUUACACAGGUGAUGCGCCAGUGCUGGAGAAGUCUGUUUGUCCUGGUCUUUGAAGACAUAAGGCUUCUCUGAUGGCUGGACCGUAUCCUCAAG